rnacentral:rRNA from 1 species
GGGCCCGCACAAGCGGUGGAGCAUGUGGUUUAAUUCGACGCAACGCGAAGAACCUUACCUACCUUUGAAUCCACGGAAUCUUGCAGAGAUGUGAGAGUGCCUUCGGGAACCGUGAGACAGGUGCUGCAUGGCUGUCGUCAGCUCGUGUCGUGAGAUGUUGGGUUAAGUCCCGUAACGAGCGCAACCCUUGUCCUUAGUUACCAGCGAGUAAAGUCGGGGACUUUAAGGAGACUGCCGGUGAUAAACCGGAGGAAGGUGGGGAUGACGUCAAGUCCUCAUGGCCCUUACAGGUAGGGCCACACACGUGCUACAAUGGCCGGUACAAAGGGCAGCGAACUCGCGAGGGGGAGCUAAUCCUAGAAAGUUCUUCGUAGUCCGGAUUGGAGUCUGCAACUCGACUCCAUGAAGUCGGAAUCGCUAGUAA